rnacentral:rRNA from 1 species
UACGAAGGGGGCUAGCGUUGUUCGGAAUUACUGGGCGUAAAGCGCACGUAGGCGGAUUCUUAAGUCAGGGGUGAAAUCCCGGGGCUCAACCUCGGAACUGCCUUUGAUACUGGCAAUCUCGAGUCCGGAAGAGGUGGGUGGAAUUCCUAGUGUAGAGGUGAAAUUCGUAGAUAUUAGGAAGAACACCAGUGGCGAAGGCGGCCCACUGGUCCGGUACUGACGCUGAGGUGCGAAAGCGUGGGGAGCAAGCAGG